UGCAAGUCGAGCGGUACAGGGGUAGCUUGCUACCCGCUGACGAGCGGCGGACGGGUGAGUAACGCAUAGGAAUUUACCCGGUAGUGGGGGAUAACCUGGGGAAACCCAGGCUAAUACCGCAUACGUCCUACGGGAGAAAGGGGGCUUUGGCUCCCGCUAUCGGAUGAGCCUAUGCCGGAUUAGCUAGUUGGUGAGGUAAUGGCUCACCAAGGCGACGAUCCGUAGCUGGUCUGAGAGGAUGAUCAGCCACAUCGGGACUGAGACACGGCCCGAACUCCUACGGGAGGCAGCAGUGGGGAAUAUUGGACAAUGGGGGCAACCCUGAUCCAGCCAUGCCGCGUGUGUGAAGAAGGCCCUCGGGUUGUAAAGCACUUUCAGCGAGGAAGAACGCCUGUCGGUUAAUACCCGGCAGGAAAGACAUCACUCGCAGAAGAAGCACCGGCUAACUCCGUGCCAGCAGCCGCGGUAAUACGGAGGGUGCAAGCGUUAAUCGGAAUUACUGGGCGUAAAGCGCGCGUAGGUGGCUUGAUAAGCCGGUUGUGAAAGCCCCGGGCUCAACCUGGGAACGGCAUCCGGAACUAUCAGGCUAGAGUGCAGGAGAGGAAGGUAGAAUUCCCGGUGUAGCGGUGAAAUGCGUAGAGAUCGGGAGGAAUACCAGUGGCGAAGGCGGCCUUCUGGACUGACACUGACACUGAGGUGCGAAAGCGUGGGUAGCAAACAGGAUUAGAUACCCUGGUAGUCCACGCCGUAAACGAUGUCGACCAGCCGUUGGGUGCCUAGCGCACUUUGUGGCGAAGUUAACGCGAUAAGUCGACCGCCUGGGGAGUACGGCCGCAAGGUUAAAACUCAAAUGAAUUGACGGGGGCCCGCACAAGCGGUGGAGCAUGUGGUUUAAUUCGAUGCAACGCGAAGAACCUUACCUACCCUUGACAUCCUGCGAACUUGUGAGAGAUCACUUGGUGCCUUCGGGAGCGCAGAGACAGGUGCUGCAUGGCUGUCGUCAGCUCGUGUUGUGAAAUGUUGGGUUAAGUCCCGUAACGAGCGCAACCCUUGUCC
rnacentral:rRNA from 1 species